rnacentral:rRNA from 1 species
CCUACGGGGGGCAGCAGUGGGGAAUAUUGGACAAUGGGCGAAAGCCUGAUCCAGCCAUGCCGCGUGUGUGAAGAAGGCCUUCGGGUUGUAAAGCACUUUCAGUGGGGAAGAAAGCCUUGUGGCUAAUACCCUCGAGGAAGGACAUUACCCACAGAAGAAGCACCGGCUAACUCCGUGCCAGCAGCCGCGGUAAUACGGAGGGUGCGAGCGUUAAUCGGAAUUAAUGGGCGUAAAGCGCGCGUAGGCGGUCUGAUAAGCCGGUUGUGAAAGCCCCGGGCUCAACCUGGGAACGGCAUCCGGAACUGUCAGGCUAGAGUGCAGGAGAGGACGAUAGAAUUCCCGGUGUAGCGGUAAAAUGCGUAGAGAUCGGGAGGAAUACCAGUGGCGAAGGCGGCCUUCUGGACUGACACUGACGCUGAGGUGCGAAAGCGUGGGUAGCAAACAGGAUUAGAUACCCGAGUAGUC